rnacentral:rRNA from 1 species
CCAGACUCCUACGGGAGGCAGCAGUGGGGAAUAUUGCACAAUGGGGGAAACCCUGAUGCAGCGACGCCGCGUGAGUGAAGAAGUAUUUCGGUAUGUAAAGCUCUAUCAGCAGGGAAGAAAAUGACGGUACCUGACUAAGAAGCCCCGGCUAACUACGUGCCAGCAGCCGCGGUAAUACGUAGGGGGCAAGCGUUAUCCGGAUUUACUGGGUGUAAAGGGAGCGUAGGUGGCAUGGUAAGCCAGAAGUGAAAACCCAGGGCUCAACUCUGUGGAUUGCUUUUGGAACUAUCAGGCUAGAGUGCUGGAGGGGUAAGCGGAAUUCCUAGUGUAGCGGUGAAAUGCGUAGAUAUUAGGAGGAACACCGGUGGCGAAGGCGGCCUGCUGGACCGCGACUGACGUUGAGGCUCGAAAGCGUGGGGAGCGAACAGGAUUAGAUACCCCCGUA